rnacentral:rRNA from 1 species
UACGUAGGGGGCUAGCGUUGUCCGGAUUUAUUGGGCGUAAAGAGCGUGUAGGCGGCCAGGUAGGUUUGGUGUGAAAACUCGAGGCUUAACCUCGAGAUGUCAUCGGAAACCAUCUGGCUAGAGUCCGGAAGAGGAGAGUGGAAUUCCUGGUGUAGCGGUGAAAUGCGCAGAUAUCAGGAGGAACACCGGUGGCGAAGGCGGGUCUCUGGGCCGAUACUGACGCUGAGGAGCGAAAGCGUGGGGAGCGAACAGG